ensembl:snRNA U6 U6 spliceosomal RNA
GUGCUUGCUUUGGCAGCACAUACACUGAAAUUGGAACUAUAAAGAAAGCAUUGCCCCUGCUCAAGGAUGACACGCAAAUUUUGAAGCAUUCCAUAUUUUU